CGGAAUUACUGGGCGUAAAGAGCUCGUAGGCGGUUUGUCACGUCGUCUGUGAAAUCCCUCGGCUUAACCGGGGGCGUGCAGGCGAUACGGGCAGACUUGAGUACUACAGGGGAGACUGGAAUUCCUGGUGUAGCGGUGAAAUGCGCAGAUAUCAGGAGGAACACCGGUGGCGAAGGCGGGUCUCUGGGUAGUAACUGACGCUGAGGAGCGAAAGCAUGGGUAGCGAACAGGAUUAGAUACCCUGGUAGUCCAUGCCGUAAACGGUGGGCGCUAGGUGUGGGGUCCUUCCACGGACUCCGUGCCGUAGCUAACGCAUUAAGCGCCCCGCCUGGGGAGUACGGCCGCAAGGGCUAAAACUCAAAGGAAUUGACGGGGGCCCGCACAAGCGGCGGAGCAUGUGGAUUAAUUCGAUGCAACGCGAAGAACCUUACCUAGGCUUGACAUAUACAGGACGACGGCAGAGAUGUCGUUUCCCUUGUGGCUUGUAUACAGGUGGUGCAUGGUUGUCGUCAGCUCGUGUCGUGAGAUGUUGGGUUAAGUCCCGCAACGAGCGCAACCCUGUCUCAUGUUGCCAGCACGUAAUGGUGGGGACUCGUGAGAGACUGCCGGGGUCAACUCGGAGGAAGGUGGGGAUGACGUCAAAUCAUCAUGCCCCUUAUGUCUAGGGCUUCACACAUGCUACAAUGGCUAGUACAGAGGGCUGCGAUACCGCGAGGUGGAGCGAAUCCCUUAAAGCUGGUCUCAGUUCGGAUUGGGGUCUGCAACUCGACCCCAUGAAGUCGGAGUCGCUAGUAAUCGCAGAUCAGCAAC
rnacentral:rRNA from 1 species